rnacentral:rRNA from 1 species
CCUACGGGAGGCAGCAGUGGGGAAUAUUGCACAAUGGGGGAAACCCUGAUGCAGCGACGCCGCGUGAGUGAAGAAGUAUCUCGGUACGUAAAGCUCUAUCAGCAGGGAAGAAAAUGACGGUACCUGACUAAGAAACCCCGUCUAACUACGUGCCAGCAGCCGCGGUACUACGGAGGGGGCAAGCGUUCUCCGGAUUUACUGGGUGUAAAGGGGGCGUAGACGGCGGCACAAGUCAGGAGUGAAAUCCCGGGGCUUAACCCCGAAACUGCUUUGGAAACUGGGAGGCUGGAGUGCAGGAGGGGUAAGCGGAAUUCCUGGUGUAGCGGUGAAAUGCGUAGAUAUUAGGAGGAACACCGGUGGCGAAGGCGGCUUACUAGACUGUAACUGACAUUGAGGCUCGAAAGCGUGGGGAGCAAACAGGAUUAGAUACCCUGGUAGUC